rnacentral:rRNA from 1 species
UACGUAGGGGGCUAGCGUUGUCCGGAAUUAUUGGGCGUAAAGCGCGUGUAGGCGGCCCGUUAUGUCGGCUGUGAAAGCCCAUGGCUCAACCAUGGAAGUGCAGCCGAAACUGGCGGGCUAGAGUCCUGGAGAGGGUGGCGGAAUGCCCAGUGUAGAGGUGAAAUUCGUAGAUAUUGGGUAGAACACCGGUGGCGAAGGCGGCCACCUGGACAGCGACUGACGCUAAGACGCGAAAGCGUGGGGAGCGAACAGG